UACGUAGGGUGCAAGCGUUAAUCGGAAUUACUGGGCGUAAAGCGUGCGCAGGCGGUUUUGUAAGUCUGACGUGAAAUCCCCGGGCUCAACCUGGGAAUUGCGUUGGAGACUGCAAGGCUAGAAUCUGGCAGAGGGGGGUAGAAUUCCACGGGUAGCAGUGAAAUGGGUAGAGAUGUGGAGGAACACCGAUGGCGAAGGCAGCCCCCUGGGUCAAGAUUGACGCUUAUGCACGAAAGCGUGGGGAGCAAACCGG
rnacentral:rRNA from 1 species